rnacentral:rRNA from 1 species
CAAUAGCGUAUAUUUAAGUUGUUGCAGUUAAAAAGCUCGUAGUUGGAUUUCGGUUAAGAGCGACCGGUCCGCCGCUUGGUGUGCACUGGUUGGUUUUAACUUCCUGUAGAGGACGUGCUCUGGGUUUAACGACCUGGACUCGGAGUCUACGUGGUUACUUUGAAAAAAUUAGAGUGUUCAAAGCGGGCUUACGCUUGAAUAUUUCAGCAUGGAAUAACACUAUAGGACUCCUGUCCUAUUUCGUUGGUCUCGGGACGGGAGUAAUGAUUAAGAGGAACAGUUGGGGGCAUUCGUAUUUCAUUGUCAGAGGUGAAAUUCUUGGAUUUAUGAAAGACGAACUUCUGCGAAAGCAUUUGCCAAGGAUGUUUUCAUUAA